AUACAAUUAAAAUAAAUAAGUAUUGUUUAUACAAAAUUUAUUUAUAAUUGGCCUAUACAUUUUUUUAAUGAAUUUUUACAAUUAAGUUUCCUUGACAAUUAGAUGUAAAUGUUGAUUUUAUCGACAUUUCAGUUCACUUCGUUUUUUCCCGUGAAAAAUAAACUAUCGUCUUGUGUAAUUAUUAAGAUUUAUUUAAUUAGUUAUUGAUAUGGCAAGUGAAAAAAAUAUUUUUGGUCAAACAAAUGAAUCAAACUUACAUAAGGUCAUACGCAGAGUUGAAGAAAUAUGGAGUCGUCGUUUCAUGCAUUCCAAUUGUGUUUUAAAUAAUACAAAUAAAGGACAAAUAUCAAAAAAUUCAACUAAAGACGGAAGAAUUAUCUGUAAACACUAUUAAGAUUAAUAAUUAAACUAACUAUUUCGAAUAGAGAAAAAGUUUUUUAAUAUAAAAUAUAAGAAAAAUUAAUAAUAAGUUCUCUUAUUCAUAUAUAACAAUAAUUCAGUCGCUUUACUUUAAUUUAACUAUUUUAAUAUUAAAAACCUUUUUCGAAAUUGAUUAUUUAAUUAAUAAUUAUUAAAAUUAUAUUCAAUUUGCAGCAAUUAUUAAUAAAAAUAUUUAUCCUAUAAAAAAUUCCAUUAAUCCAAAAAAAUGCACGUAUCGAAAAACGAAUAAAAAUGAUAAAAUUAUUCCAGAAAAAUUGAAUAUGAUGCAGCAAAGAGAAUUCGGAACACUUUUUCAGAAUGAAAAAUCUGAAAAAUAUAAAAAUGAAAUUUUAAAUUCAACAGAAAAAAAAAAUAUAGCAAUUUCAAAAGACAAUCCGCUAUUAAUAUCAGCUGAUUUGUUAGAAAAGAGUUUUCAUAAGAAAAAUUUGGAAUGCAAAAAAUCCGAAAUAAAAAAACGACUAUUUGAGAUAUCUUCUAAUACUACUGCUUGACCAAAUUUAAAAAGAAAUUCGU